GAUGAACGCUGGCGGCGUGCCUAAUACAUGCAAGUCGAGCGAACGGACGAGAAGCUUGCUUCUCUGAUGUUAGCGGCGGACGGGUGAGUAACACGUGGAUAACCUACCUAUAAGACUGGGAUAACUUCGGGAAACCGGAGCUAAUACCGGAUAAUAUUUUGAACCGCAUGGUUCAAAAGUGAAAGACGGUCUUGCUGUCACUUAUAGAUGGAUCCGCGCUGCAUUAGCUAGUUGGUAAGGUAACGGCUUACCAAGGCAACGAUGCAUAGCCGACCUGAGAGGGUGAUCGGCCACACUGGACCUGAGACACGGUCCAGACCCCUACGGGAGGAAGCAGUAGGGAAUUUUGCGCAAUGGGCGAAAGCCUGACGGAGCACCGCCGCGUGAGUGAUGAAGGUUUUCGGAUCGUAAACCUCUGUUAUUAGGGAAGAACAUAUGUGUAAGUAACUGUGCACAUCUUGACGGUACCUAAUCAGAAAGCCACGGCUAACUACGUG
rnacentral:rRNA from 1 species